GAUGAACGCUGGCGGCGUGCCUAAUACAUGCAAGUAGAACGCUGAAGGAAGGAGCUUGCUCUUUCCGGAUGAGUUGCGAACGGGUGAGUAACGCGUAGGUAACCUGCCUGGUAGCGGGGGAUAACUAUUGGAAACGAUAGCUAAUACCGCAUAACAGUAGAUGUUGCAUGAUAUCUACUUAAAAGGUGCAAUUGCACCACUACCAGAUGGACCUGCGUUGUAUUAGCUAGUUGGUGAGGUAACGGCUCACCAAGGCGACGAUACAUAGCCGACCUGAGAGGGUGAUCGGCCACACUGGGACUGGGACACGGCCCAGACUCCUACGGGAGGCAGCAGUAGGGAAUCUUCGGCAAUGGACGGAAGUCUGAACGAGCAACGCCGCGUGAGUGAAGAAGGUUUUCGGAUCGGAAAGCUCUGUUGUAAGAGAAGAAAGAGUGUGAGAGUGGAAAGUUCACACUGUGACGGUAUCUUACCAGAAAGGGACGGCUAACUACGUG
rnacentral:rRNA from 1 species